GGCAACAUGGCGUCCUCCUUGAUGUGCUGAUGAGAGGAGUUUCACUGUAGCUCCAAACCAGAGGGCAAAACUCCCCAAACCCAAUAAGCCCACAUUACCCGUUUUCUCCGCGGGACCCUGUCGCCCUUUCCUUAGGACUCGUUCUCGGGCAGGAGGGAACCACAGUGCCGAGGGCCAGGACCGGCCAGGCCGCGCGGACCCGGGGCUGAGGAACCGGCCGCAGGCCAGCACGAUGGGCCGAUCCUGGCUCUGGUUGCAGCAGCUCAGGCGAGUGGGAGACCCGCAGGGCUGAGAGUGGCUGAAGGAGACCCGAGGCGCCCUGAACCAAUUGCCCUCGGCCGUAGUCCUCGACCAGUCGGCGAACCGGCGCCAAGAGCGGGCGGCCUGCCUGUCCUCGGAUCUCCUGGGGCGUUGGAGGCCGAGAGCAGGGUCAUCGUGAGGCCUGAAGUCUCACGCCUUUGACAGCUCGGCUCGCAGCCCUUCCGAGGACGUACAUUCUCAGAGGCAGCCAGUGGCUUGGGAUCUGAGGGCUGGAGGUUUUGGAGCGCUUGCUGCCAAGGACAUCCCCACCCCCUCCUUCCCUGAUGGAGUCUGAGAUGCUGCAGUCGCCCCUUCUGGGACUUGGGGAGGAAGAUGAGGCCGACCUUACAGACUGGAACCUGCCUUUGGCUUUUAUGAAGAAGAGGCAUUGUGAGAAAAUCGAGGGCUCCAAAUCCUUGGCUCAGAGCUGGAGGAUGAAGGACCGGAUGAAGACUGUUAGUGUUGCCUUAGUUUUGUGCCUAAAUGUGGGUGUGGAUCCUCCAGAUGUGGUGAAGACGACGCCCUGCGCUCGCUUGGAGUGCUGGAUAGAUCCUCUGUCCAUGGGUCCUCAGAAAGCCCUGGAGACCAUUGGUGCAAAUUUGCAGAAGCAGUACGAGAACUGGCAGCCAAGGGCCCGGUACAAGCAGAGCCUUGAUCCGACUGUGGAUGAAGUCAAGAAGCUUUGCACAUCUUUACGCCGAAACGCCAAGGAGGAGCGGGUUCUCUUCCACUACAAUGGCCACGGGGUGCCCAGGCCCACAGUGAAUGGGGAGAUCUGGGUCUUCAACAAGAACUACACUCAAUAUAUUCCUCUGUCUAUAUAUGAUCUCCAGACUUGGAUGGGCAGCCCGUCAAUCUUCGUCUACGACUGCUCCAAUGCUGGCCUUAUCGUCAAGUCCUUCAAGCAGUUCGCCCUGCAGAGGGAGCAGGAGCUGGAGGUAGCUGCAAUCAACCCAAACCACCCGCUUGCCCAGAUGCCCUUGCCCCCGUCAAUGAAGAACUGCAUCCAGCUGGCAGCCUGCGAAGCCAGCGAGCUGCUGCCCAUGGUCCCUGACCUCCCGGCCGACCUGUUCACGUCCUGCCUCACCACCCCCAUCAAAAUCGCUCUGCGCUGGUUUUGCAUGCAGAAAUGUGUCAGUCUGGUGCCUGGAGUCACGCUGGAUUUGAUAGAAAAGAUCCCCGGGCGGCUGAACGACCGGAGGACACCCCUGGGCGAGCUGAACUGGAUCUUCACGGCCAUCACAGACACCAUCGCCUGGAACGUGCUCCCCCGGGAUCUCUUCCAAAAGCUCUUCAGACAGGAUCUGUUGGUGGCUAGUCUGUUUCGAAAUUUUUUGUUGGCAGAAAGGAUCAUGAGGUCAUAUAACUGCACCCCGGUCAGCAGCCCGCGACUUCCUCCCACCUACAUGCACGCGAUGUGGCAAGCUUGGGACCUUGCCGUUGACAUUUGCCUCUCCCAGCUGCCGACGAUCAUCGAGGAAGGCACUGCAUUUAGGCACAGUCCGUUCUUUGCGGAGCAGCUGACUGCGUUCCAGGUGUGGCUCACCAUGGGCGUGGAGAACAGGAACCCCCCCGAGCAGCUCCCCAUCGUUCUGCAGGUGCUGCUAAGCCAAGUGCAUCGGCUGAGAGCUCUGGACUUACUGGGGAGAUUUUUGGACUUGGGUCCCUGGGCGGUGAGCCUGGCCUUGUCCGUUGGCAUUUUUCCUUACGUGCUAAAACUACUUCAGAGUUCGGCCAGAGAGCUAAGGCCACUUCUUGUCUUCAUAUGGGCCAAAAUUCUUGCUGUCGACAGUUCGUGCCAAGCUGACCUCGUGAAGGACAAUGGCCACAAGUACUUCCUGUCGGUCCUGGCAGACCCUUACAUGCCCGCCGAGCACAGGACCAUGACGGCCUUCAUCCUCGCCGUGAUCGUCAACAGCUACAGCACUGGCCAGGAAGCCUGUCUCCAGGGAAACCUGAUUGCCAUCUGCCUAGAGCAGCUCAAUGACCCCCACCCUCUGCUGCGCCAGUGGGUCGCCAUCUGCCUGGGCAGGAUCUGGCAAAACUUUGACUCGGCGAGGUGGUGUGGCGUGAGGGACAGCGCGCACGAGAAGCUUUACAGCCUGCUCUCCGACCCCGUUCCCGAGGUCCGAUGUGCCGCCGUCUUCGCCCUGGGCACAUUUGUGGGCAACUCGGCAGAGAGGACCGACCACUCGACCACCAUCGACCACAACGUGGCCAUGGUGCUGGCCCAGCUCAUCGGCGACGGGAGCCCCAUGGUGCGCAAGGAGCUGGUGGUGGCGGUGAGUCAUCUUGUGGCUCAGUAUGAAAGCAAUUUCUGCACGGUGGCCUUGCAGUUCAUGGAGGAGGAGAAGAACUACCCCCUGCCGUCUCCAGCUGCCACAGAGGGCGGGAGUUUGACCCCCGUGCGAGACAGUCCGUGCACCCCCAGACUGCGUUCCGUGAGUUCCUAUGGAAACAUUCGAGCUGUCACCACAGCCAGGAAUUUGAACAAAUCUUUGCAGAACCUGAGCUUGACAGAAGAAUCCGGCGGCUCGGUGGCGUUCUCCCCGGGGAACCUCAGUGCCAGCAGCAGCGCCAGCAGCACCCUGGGCAGCCCCGAGAGUGAGGAGCACAUCCUGUCCUUCGAGACUGUUGACAAGAUGCGGCGUGUCAGCUCCUACUCCUCGCUCAACUCGCUCAUCGGAGUUUCGUUUAACAGCGUUUACACUCAGAUCUGGAGAGUCCUGCUGCACCUGGCUGCCGACCCCUACCCGGACGUCUCCGACCUGGCCAUGAAGGUCCUCAACAGCGUGGCCUACAAGGCCACCGUCAACGCCAGGCCCCAGCGCAUCCUCGACACGUCCUCCCUCACCCAGUCGGCCCCGGCCAGCCCCACCAACAAGGGCCUGCACGUCCACCCCGGCGGAGGCUCCCCUCCCACGUCCAGCACCAGCAGCUCCAGCCUGACCAACGAUGUGGCCAAGCAGCCAGUCAGCCGCGAGCUGCCCUCAGGCCGGCCAGGCACCACGGGCACUGUCGGGGCGCAGUACACACCGCACUCCCACCAGUUCCCCAGGACCCGCAAGAUGUUCGACAAGGGCCCUGAUCAGACCACGGACGAGGCGGAUGAGCCCGUGGGACACAAGAGCUUUGUCUCGGCCACGGCGCAGACCGGCUUCUGUGACUGGAGCGCCCGCUACUUUGCCCGGCCUGUUAUGAAGAUCCCAGAAGAACAUGAUCUAGAGAGUCAGAUCCGCAAGGAGCGGGAGUGGCGGUUUCUGCGGAACACUCAUGUGCGAAGGCAGGCCCAGCAAGUCAUCGAGAAGGGCAUCACGAGACUGGAUGACCAGAUUUUCCUGAACAGGAACCCCGGUGUCCCAUCAGUGGUCAAAUUCCAUCCCUUCACCCCAUGCAUAGCCGUGGCCGACAAAGACAGCAUCUGUUUCUGGGACUGGGAAAAGGGGGAGAAGCUGGAUUACUUCCACAACGGCAACCCCCGCUACACAAGGGUCACCGCCAUGGAGUUCCUGAACGGCCAGGACCGCCCGCUCCUGCUGACGGCCACGGACGACGGGGCCAUCCGGGUCUGGAAGAAUUUUGCUGAUUUGGAAAAGAACCCAGAGAUGGUGACCGCGUGGCAGGGGCUGUCCGACAUGCUGCCAACAACACGAGGAGCCGGGAUGGUGGUGGACUGGGAGCAGGAGACCGGCCUGCUCAUGAGCUCUGGGGAUGUGCGGCUCAUCCGCAUCUGGGACACAGACCGCGAGACGAAGGUGCAGGACAUCCCCACGGGCGCGGACAGCUGCGUGACAAGCCUGUCCUGUGACUCUCACCGCUCGCUCAUCGUGGCCGGCCUCGGCGAUGGCUCUAUCCGCGUGUAUGACCGGAGGAUGGCACUCAGCGACUGCCGUGUGGUGACGUACCGGGAGCACACGGCCUGGGUGGUGAAGGCCUACCUGCAGAAGGAGCCCGAGGGCCACGUCAUGAGCGUGAGCGUCAACGGGGACGUGCGUUUCUUUGAUCCCCGGAGGCCCGAGUCGGUGAACGUGCUUCAGAUCGCGAGGGGGCUGACGGCCCUCGACAUCCACCCCCGGGCCAGCCUCAUCGCCUGCGGCUCCAUGAACCAGUUCACGGCCAUCUACAGCAGCAACGGGGAGCUGAUCAACAACAUCAAGUACUACGAUGGCUUCAUGGGGCAGCGCGUCGGGGCCAUCAGCUGCCUGGCCUUCCACCCGCACUGGGUCUGUGUCCGGCUGGGGCGGGUGGGGUGCCAGCAGGGGUCCGGUCUUCUCAGAGGUCCUGGGGUGCCAGGGGCCUCGGCCCCCAAGCUGCCCCCACUUCCCUCCGUCCCCUUGCUGCUCCGGGAGGAGCAGAUCCGCCAGGAGGUGAGGCUCAGCAGCGCCCGCAGAACUGGCCUCGGGGUGGGGGUGUGUGGAACCCGUGUCUUCCCACCCUGCCCCUCCACACCUCCUUUGCCUCUGCAGUAACCCCGUCACCUGGGGACGACCCUUCCGGAAGGCUUCUGCUUGGGGCACACCCUUCUCCCUGACGGAAGGACCAGCCCCCAAAUCCCUGGCAUCUGGCGCCGCCUUUAAUUACAGUCCGCCCACGGGUGGGGUUGUUUUGCCUCACCUGGCGGUUGGAAGCAACGACUACUACAUCUCCGUGUACUCGGUGGAGAAACGCGUCAGAUAGCGUGCCCGCAGGCCGAGGGGCGCCCACCAGGCCGCCACCCACCACCUGUACAUAGCGAAGGAGCCCCUCGGACAGCGGGCUCGGCCGCUGCUGCUGCGCCGUCCAUGGCGGCCCGUGGUCGAGCUGCUGCUGCUGAAGGAGAGGCCGGUGCCGCUUUCUUUUUUCCGUCUUCGCUGUAAUGUCUAGAAAGUCCCGGGAAGGGGAGGGUUCGGGUGUCCCGUUUUGGGUUUGCCGGGUGCGUCUCUGCCGAGAACACGGCUCCCGGCACCAAGCACUCGUCGCAGCGUCCUUCCCGGCCUGUUUCUCUUCUGAGACCUUGUUGAAGGGGGACACGCACACGUUUUAGUUUCCAUUUCAUCUGAACACGCGCUACAGAAAAGCUCCAAGGCAGAAGCCCAGACCCCACAAGGGCUCGGCCUCCCAGUGGACAAGUAGCCAAGAGCGCGGGAGGGGCACCAGCCCAGCGCCGGGGGGCGUCUCCAGGCAGGCUGGAAGGGGGCAGGAAGGAGGGAUGGAGACGGCCUCGAUGAGCUGCUCGGGUGGGGGGGCGAGGUGGUCUCCAGGGCUUCCCAGGCCCCUCAGACGCCGGCCCCAGGCACUGUGGGGUCAGGGCUGGGCCAAGAGCGAGGUCCCCUUCUCCCACACUGACCCACCUUCCCCUGUGCCAGCAGGACCCUCUUUUAUACUUUUGGCCCCUCUCACCACAAACCCAGUGGCAGGAGAGGGGUCUGCCGGCUUCAUGCGGGUGAGGCAGGGCUCAGGGUCAGCCCGGAAGCUCCUUCCUCAGCACGGGCAGUGGCCGGGGCCGAGGCGCGUGGUCUCCCCGCCUGGGCCGCACACGCCUGCAGACGCAGCGGCACGGCUGGGCCCCCAGAGCACGUGGGUGAGCGACGGCCUGUUCCGGGACAGCCCCUCUCCCGCCCUUGCCCCGCACACGGGCGUGACUGAGCGUGCGUCUUGCCGUCUGUAACGCACGAGCCCUUGGUGGUUGCUCUGGCACGUGUUGGGGCCUGCGGGGGUGUCCGUGUGCACCUCCCCCAGGAGGGACCAGAGAGUGGGCUGAGCACUCGCAAACAAACAGUGCUUUGCAAACAGACACAACCACAAUGAUGAUAUUUUGAAAAGUCCUUCUUCCAUUUUUCUUUGGGAAUCAAGAUUAUUCAGAAAAUGGGGAGGGGGUGGCUUAAUUAAUUCUGCCAAUAACAGUGGGAACAGGAAGGAUAGGGCGGCGGGAAGCCCCUGGGGUGGACGGUCUGCCUUAUACAACGGCGGCACCUGGCACUGGGCCUGGGUCGGCGGGGGGCUGCAGGCUCGGCAGGCCGCUGAGCUGGCCUCCGCUGCCUCGGGAAAUGUGGCUCCUGCCAGUGGAGGUUUAGGGGUGCAGUCCCGGUGGCAGCGAGCAGAUGGGCAGUGGCUGCAUGGGGUCAGGAGCCCGACACCCCCUGACCCUGCUGCUGCCAAGCCGGCCAGCCCGCUCCCCUCCAUGGUGCUCCCGGUGGCGGCCUGAACCCUUCCGGAAGCCGAGCUCCAUCCACAGCACAUGGGGCUUCUCACCCACCAGGGCUGACUCACGGGUUUAACUCAAGAUUUUAACCGUGUGCUUUUCUGUUUGCUCUAAGACAGACCAUCCCCUGGCAAAGUGUGGAGGCCCAGGGGGCCCCCUCCCCUGCCGUGCCCAGCACUCGCUGGGGGUCUGGGGGGGUCUGUGCAUGCACAUCCAGGCAGGGCCCAGUCCUCACAGGCCUGAUGCGAAAAAUCAAUCAUGAAGUUAACCAGGGCUCGAGAGAGCGCCCCACCUAAAGGUUCAUUUAUCUCUAUUUAUUUUACCAAAAUAGAAAUUGAAAAAGACUUUGAAGAAACAUGGAAUUGUAAUGUGAAAAUAGAAGCAAUGGCAAACGAUAAACUGUUAAUAAAAAGGAAAUGCAGAA